CUCAGUUUGCUAGUCAAAGCUCCAACAUGGAAGUUCAAAAAGCAGGUCUUGUAUUCUGUCUUUUCCUCUUCUCAGCUGCAGAAGAGUGUAUGCACUGCACUGGAGAAGACUACAGAGGCAAGAUCUCCAUCACUGAGAGUGGAUACACCUGCCAACGCUGGGACUCUCAGACACCACACCAACAUGAUUACAUCCUUUUAUUUUUACCUGAGAAGAACUUGAUGGAGAACUAUUGCAGGAACCCUAGUGGAGAGCCCAGGCCCUGGUGUUAUACCACAGAUCCAUCCAAACGCUGGGAGUUCUGCUCUAUUCCUCGAUGCAAGACUGAACCCCCCACAAUUGUACAAGAGCUCACCUGUACUUCUGGAAAUGGACGAUAUUACAGAGGAACUAUUUCUGUGACUAAAUCAGGGAAAACUUGCCAGAGCUGGACAUCUCAAACUCCUCACAAACAUGUCAAAUCUCCAGAAAACAACCCCUGCAAAGGUCUUGAGGAGAACUACUGCAGGAACCCUGAUCAUGAAAAAGCUCCAUGGUGUUACACCACAGACCCUGAGACCCUCUGGGAAUACUGCAAUGUGCCCAAUUGUAGAGAUCAACCUAGCCCUGCUGCAGAAGAGUGUAUGCACUGCACUGGAGAAGACUACAGAGGCAAGAUCUCCAUCACUGAGAGUGGAUACACCUGCCAACGCUGGGACUCUCAGACACCACACCAACAUAAUUAUGUCCUUUCAAUUUUACCUGAGAAGAACUUGAUGGAGAACUAUUGCAGGAACCCUGGUGAAAAGCCCAGACCCUGGUGUUAUAUCACAGAUCCAUCCAAACGCUGGGAGUUCUGCUCUAUUCCUCUAUGCACGACUGAACCACCCUCGAUUGUACCAGAGCUCUUCUGUAGUUCUGAAGAUGGAAGAUAUUAUAGAGGAACUAUUUCUGUGACCAAAUCAGGCAAAACAUGCCAGAGCUGGACAUCUCAAACUCCUCACAAACAUGACAGAUCUUCAGUGAACUACCCAUGCAAAGGUCUUGAAGAGAACUACUGCAGGAACCCUGAUCAUGAAAAAGCUCCAUGGUGUUACACCACAGACCCUGAGACCCGCUGGGAAUACUGCAAUGUUCCCAAUUGUAGAGAUCAACCUGGGAGUCUGAAAUGCGGACAACCAGCAACAGAACCUAAACUUUGCUUUUGGCCGCAAGUUGUUGGUGGAUGUGUUUCUGAACCCCACUCCUGGCCUUGGCAGAUCAGUCUUAGAAAAAGUGCCGACAAAAUUCAUUUCUGUGGUGGAACUCUGAUUAAUGCACUGUGGGUCCUAACCGCAGCCCAUUGCCUUGAUGGGUCACAGAUCUCCAAGAUCUUCCUUGGAAUCCACACAAAACAAGCCAACGAACCGUCUAAACAGGAACGAGAUGUUUCUAAGAUUGUUAAAGGACCAUCUGGUUCUGACCUUGCUCUUCUCAAGUUGGACAGACCUGCAGAAAUAAAUGAUCAGGUAUCACUUGCUUGUCUACCAGAAAAGGACCAUAUUGUACCAGAUGGUACUGAAUGCUUUGUGACAGGCUGGGAAACUACACGGGUUAUUUCAACGUUUCAAGCGCUUCUGUUCAUCAGGAACUGGUGGAGAAGCUUACCUGAAAGAAACCAGCAUCACAGUGAUUGAAAAUAAAAGCUGCAACAGUCCAUCGUUUUUGGACGGCCGUGUGGAGGAGACCGAGAUGUGUGCUGGGGAUAUAAAAGGAGGAACAAACAGUUGUCAGGGUGACAGCGGUGGACCUCUUGUCUGCAAAACACAAAACAAGUUUGUUCUUCAGGGAGUAACAUCAUGGGGUAUUGGUUGUGCUAAUCCCAUGAAACCAGGAGUAUACGUCCGCAUCUCCAAGUUUGUCAACUGGAUUGAACAAAGCGUGAAAGAAAACUAAUAAAGUUAAUAAACUUUGA